rnacentral:tRNA from 1 species
GCCUGGGUGGCUCAGUCGGUUAAGCGUCAGACUUCAGCUCAGGUCAUGAUCUUGCCUCAGCUCAGGUCACGAUCUUCCAGUCCGUGAGUUCGAGCCCCACCUCGGGCU